GUAAAAGUGAAUAGUGAAUCACUAGUCACUAUUCAGGUUGAGUAUUCACUAUUUGGGUCACUAUUCAGGAUGUGAAGAGUGAAUAGUGUAUGGAUAAGGCACCAAGGUUUGAAUCAAGUCAAAGGGAAUCAAGAAGAUGCUGUGUGGAGCUGAUUGGUUACUUUGGGGCAUGGACAGGCUGGCUGUUGCUGUAAAGGAAGAGCAGCCACGACCAUGCACCUAGACUGACCUGUGGACAGAUACAAAGGAGCCUAAGGAGAGCCAAUUACAGCACAGCUUCAGUUUGAAUUAAAGCAAAGGCGCCAGCUGCUUACUCCAAUCAGAAUCAAGAGGAACAAGACCAUCUCAUCCUAUCCAUCCAUUUAAACUUCAAGUAUUAUCAGCCAUUAGAUGUAGGUUUAUGAUUUGCUCUUGUAAAGGCAUAUAUAAACUCAUAAGUGGCGUUUUGUAAAGCUUAAGUGAGUAAGGGGGUUUCCCUUCUCCUUCUCUAAUCUGAAACACUAAUCUUCAGUCUCUGAUUCUCUCAGUCUCUCUCUAGUCUCUUAAGUCUCUUAAUCUCUGUUCUUAAGUCUCUCACAUACUCAUAAACACUCUCACCAAUCCUUUUCUCUAUAUCACCUAGAACAAGCUCUAAGCAUUCUUCAUUGAAGCUUAUACACACACACAUACUACCAGAGUAGAGAUCUCUUUAAAAAUCAUAUGGUAUCAGAGCCAGGUUCAUCAGAGCCUGGUUGAAGCUUCCACAAGUCCACAGCUCACUCCUCAGCUCAAAUCCAAACCUUGAAGCCAUUUCUAUGCGAUUUCAGUUUCUACAAGAAGAUGAAGGCUGAAGCCAUGGUGUGUGUGUUCUUGGUUCCUCAUCCUGUUCUCUAUCCGUCCAGAUGGUGAUUCUCCUUGGAAGCAAAGGUGUAUGGAGAGGCCUAGCAGACCAGACUCCAAGGCGCCUUGUCCAAGAGAAGCUCUCAUCCUGUUACAAACAAGAUGGUGUCAUAAACUUGGGGCAAAGAAGUUAUGAAGAAAGGAGGGGUCUUUUGAGUUGAUGGUACAAGAUGGUGGCCAUGAACUGAAGGAGAAGGAGAUGGAGGACAAUCCAGACUCUUAGAUCCAACAAAAGUCAAGGCUGGGUUCAUAAAAUGCAAAAGGAAUCAACCUGGUUCCUUGCUGUAAGCGAUUCUAUAAACCAUCUUGAUAAUGAGCUUGUGUUGUUGACUGGUUAUAAUGUGUGAUGUGAUUGAAAACCUGAGGAUUGUUAAAGAUUGAUAAAUUAAAAUGUUUAGAAUCUGUCCCAGGAUACUUUAAGAGCUUUGUUUGGUGACUGAAUGUGAUUAAUAUGCUUAGCUUCGUUUCAUAGUGAUGCUUAGUGUGAUUAACUGAAUCUGCUUGCAUACAUGGAUUGAAACUGAAUUUAAAGCUGUUGCAUAUAGUCUUGUGGCUGUCUUACAUUGAAGCAUUAGAUUCAUGUCUAAAGUGCUGAGUAAAGAAGCUUUUAAAAGUGCCUAAGUAACUUGUCUUGAAUCUGUUAGGAUCUUUCUUGUACUUAGAGAGCUAGCUUGCAAACAAUAGAACUUGAUAAUGCCUUGUGUCUAUCUGUUGCAUUGCUUGUAAUAUUGGGAAUCAAACUUGAUAAUUUAUUAAUCAAGUUUUGACAUCAAUACUAUUGAAAAUGGUUAAAUGCUUAAUGUCAGCUCUAAAUUAACUUGUCUUGUUAAGAUGAUAGAUUAUAGUAUCUAAUCAUACUUGCUUUCAUGAGUUAGAAACUGAUUAGGAUUAAUGCAUACUGCCUUGUUGCUGCCUUGUAUUGUUGCAUAUUAAGGAGUGAUUAAAAUUGCCUUAAUAAUUUGACUUGAAUCUGAUAAGGUCUUGCUUAGUAUUUAGAGAAUGGUUGCUUGCAUAGAUAAGAACUUGACAUUGUCUUGAUUCUAUCUAAUGUUAUAAAGCUUGAGACAUUGGUGAUCAAACUUGAUGAGGUCAAGGAUUGAUCCCAAUGCAAUUGUAUCUUAUCUUGGCUAGAGUUUGAGUGAUGUUUCAGGUUCACAAAAGGUGUUCCUAGUUCAUCAUCAAAUCCGAGUUUAAAGAGAAAGAAUGGUGUCCAUUGUGUGUGCAAUGGAGAGUUACUACAAGAAGGGUGAAGCGCAGAUGGUUGUAAAACCCACUUGAAGCUCACUGGUCUUCCUACUACCAUUGCAAGUAACUGAAGAAGAAGCCAACCGGGUCUAGGCAGUGGCGUGCCUAUUCAAGAGGGUGCUCAAACUAAGACAGAGCACUCUUGGCUGUGUGAAGAAGAAGGCUACUCUAUCAAGGCGGCCUCUAUUGUGAGGUGAUUGAAGAAGUAGCUGAAGCAUCCACAAGCAUUCCAUCAUGGUGGUGAAUUCAGGAGGGUGAUUGCAAUAAGAGAAGAAGAAGAAGUAAGGAUUCAAGUGGUAACUUUGAGAACCAUUUCUCAUCAUCUUAACCAAGGGAGUAAACCUAAUCUCAUCUAUCUUAAUAUGUCUUGAUAGGUUUAUCUUCUGAUUAUACUAUGUGCUUUCCCUAAUUCCAUUAAGAGUUUAUAGCCUCUAGUAGAAUGUCUAGGCUAAUUGCACUGAAAUUGUAUUGCUGCUGCAUUGUCAUAUUGAUAGUAAGUAAUGUCUAGAGUCCCAGAAUCUCAUGUUCUGUUUAUUGCAUUGUCUUGAGGAUUGUCAUAGCUUGAAUCAUCAUGAAUGUGUUGUAGAAUUGAGUAGAAUGUCUCUGCUGCUUGCAUCAUGAUUGAUAAGUUAUUUUGCAUACAUAAGCAUAUCUCAUACUGUCUAAGUUCAAUCCUAUUGUUAUCUGAUGCUAUUGUCUAUGUUUAAUCCAUCAAUGAAAGUCUUGCAUCAAUUAGAAAUUGUCUAAGUUGUUUGCAUCAUUGGUUUUGAUUGAAACUGUUGUGCAUAGCCUUAAUAUUGCUCAUGGAUUGAACCUGUUGCAUUCAUAUAGCUAAAGCUUUAAGAUUGUGCAUUCAUAUAGUAAUGCAUUUAAAAAUGAGCCUAAAUUGCAAAUGUACUGAUAGGCUUGCAUUGCAUUUAGAGAACUUAAAAAAAAAAAAAAAAUAGAACUUGCAUUGCCAUUAUUAGAGAUUGAAAUCUACUUGUCUUGACUCAGUCCAGUUCUGAUUGUUGCUAUGCCAUAGUUAAAUCCAUCAGUGAUGUCUUAUAAGCACUUAGAAGUAUGUCUAAGCUAUUUGAAUCAUUCGCUUUGAUAAAACUAGUGAGCAUAAGCAUGAAUUGAGUCACUCUUGUCGCCUUGAUUGCAUAAGUAUCAUCUAGACUUGUGUUCCAUUUAGAUUGAAUCUGCUUCAUUCAUAUAGUUAGUGUGUAACCUAAUGCAGUCAUCUAUUGUUGCAUUUAAAAAAAAAACAAAACUGAAUUGAUAGUCUUUGCUUGAUUGUCUUGAUUGUCUAGCUUGUUUCAAGUAUUAUAUAUUAUUGUGGCAUUGGUGAUCAAACAGGAUGGAUAAUCUUGGUUUGAUCCCAAUGGGAUGAUCUGAUCUUGCAUUGAGUUGUGGUGGUGUUAGGUGCACAAGGAAUGGGAUACAUGUAACUCACCAACAACCAAGAAUGUAAAGACAAAGGUCUUGUGCCAUUGCAUAUCAUCACUAGGACAUGUUAGUCCAUAAUCUACAGGAAGUGUAGUGUGAUUGAGUAUGCAAUGAGAGAUAGCCAUUGCAUAAUACCAUUGGACAUAUCUAGUCCUUAGUCUACAGGAAGUGUAGCAUGGGUCAUUAUGCAAUGAGAGGUGUGUCUUGUGAGACUCUCUAUGGUGAUUCAAACACCCUAGUUCCUGGUUAAGGAAGAGAGUAAACUCACAAGAAGAAAGCUAUCAUGAAGAUGAUUGUUAUUAGACCAUGGAGAUGCAUAAGAUCAUCACAAGCUUAGCUCCUUCUAGUCUCGGUUCUAAGCUUGAGGGGGAGUCUUAAUGCAUAUGAUCCAUGGCAAGAGGCUGUUCAGAGCAGCCUUGGCGAGUGAGGAGGAAGGCUCUCCAUCAAUGCGGCUUCAAUGAGAGGUGAUUGAGGAGAAGCUGAUCAAUCCAUUCUGCCUUUCCAAGAAGUUGAUGAUGCCAUGAAGAUGGUGCAUUGAGAGAGUUUGGAAACUCACAAAAACACAAGGGAAGUUCCCUUAGACUUUUAAAACUCUUUUCAAUCUUUUUCAUUCAUCUUAUUCAUUGCUUGUGCUUGAAAAGAUACUUAAGAUGAUUAUGAUUGAAUUGUGAGAUUGUGUGCAUCAAGUAUGAUGCAGGAUAUUCAUUUUCUUGUUUUUGAUAGGUACUGAUGCACCUUUGGGAUAAUGUAUCAGGUACCAUUGCUUGAGCCUCACUAAAGAUGUUCCUGGUCAGUUCCUAGCUUCUCUAAGAUGGCUGAGAAGUCUGUUGAGAGGGGGAGAUCCAAACCAGUUCUAUGAAGAGGGCAAGCCGUGUGUGAAGUGUUGAUCAGCCUCACUAGUGUUUUGAAGAUGAUCUGGUCGUGUCCUAGCUUCUCUAAGAUGGCUGUGAAGUCAGCUGAGAGGGGGAGACUUCAAACCGGUUCCAUGAAGAGGUGAAGCUGAAGUGUGAAAUGUGAAGUGUGCGCAAAGCUGUGAAGAGUUGCUGCACCUGUUAGGCCGUGAUCCAGAGCUUCUUGUGUCCAACCACAUUGGUUCUAAGGCACAAGAGCUCACUGGCCAAUCCCUAGGCUUUGGAGAGCUCUACUCUUUUUCCCUUGCAAGGUUUUGUCCCAAUGGGUUUUCCUUGUAAGGUUUUUAAUGAGGGAGACUCUUCAGAGUUCCAAGCUUGGCUUAGGAUCUCCUAAAGUCAAGCUUGAGGGGGAGUGUUGAACUGAAGAGAAGAUAGAGCUUGUACAACAAUAGGGAAAGCUCUAGAAGAUGUCAAGAAGAGUUCAAUCAAGCUUCAGAAGAGUUCUGAAGUAGUUAUCUUGGGGAGUUAAGUCUAGGAAAGACUUAGACUGAUCAUGUGAAGGCUUUGGGAGAGUCUUAAGGCUUCAGAAGUGGUCUGAUGAGUGUGCAAAGAUAGGAAUGACUUAGACACCAUUUAGAGAAGAUUUGGGUCAGACAGUAACUCCAAAGUUACCACAGUAACUUUGGAGAGUUACCACAAUAAGGUUGGAGAAGUUUGGGCAAGUUGGUGUAAAAGUGAAUAGUGAAUCACUAGUCACUAUUCAGGUUGAGUAUUCACUAUUUGGGUCACUAUUCAGGAUGUGAAGAGUGAAUAGUGUAUGGAUAAGGCACCAAGGUUUGAAUCUAGUCAAAGGGAAUCAAGAAGAUGCUGUGUGGAGCUGAUUGGUUACUUUGGGGCAUGGACAGGCUGGCUGUUGCUGUAAAGGAAGAGCAGCCACGACCAUGCACCUAGACUGACCUGUGGACAGAUACAAAGGAGCCUAAGGAGAGCCAAUUACAGCACAGCUUCAGUUUGAAUUAAAGCAAAGGCGCCAG
rnacentral:lncRNA from 1 species